rnacentral:tRNA from 1 species
AAGGAAGUGCCUGAAUAAAGGGUUAUUUUGAUAGAAUAAAUUAUACAAUUUAUGUUGUCUUUCUUA